rnacentral:rRNA from 1 species
GAUGAACGCUAGCGGCAGGCCUAAUACAUGCAAGUCGAACGGUAACAUGGCAGCAAUGCUGAUGACGAGUGGCGCACGGGUGCGUAACGCGUAUGCAACCUACCUUCACUGGGGAAUAGCCCGGAGAAAUUCGGAUUAACACCGCAUAAUAUGGUUAGUAGGCAUCUACAUAUCAUUAAAUCUACGGAGGUGAAGGAUGGGCAUGCGUCCAAUUAGCUAGUUGGUGAGGUAAUUGCUCACCAAGGCUAUGAUU